AGAGUUUGAUCAUGGCUCAAGACGAACGCUGGCGGCGUGCCUAACACAUGCAAGUCGAGGGUUUGAUUUAUCAGACACUGGCAUCCGGGUGAGUAACGCGUAGGUCAUCUGCCCCUAUCACAGACAUAACAGUUCUAACGGACUGCUAAUAUCUGAUGAGGCGAGCAAUCGUCAAAGCUUAGGCGGAUAGGGAUGAGCCUGCGUCUGAUUAGGUAGUUGGUGAGGUAAUGGCUCACCAAGCCUUCGAUCAGUAGCUGGUCUGAGAGGACGAACAGCCACACUGGAACUGAGACACGGUCCAGACUCCUACGGGAGGCAGCAGUGAGGAAUAUUGGUCAAUGGGCGCAAGCCUGAACCAGCGACACCGCGUGCGGGAUGAAGGGGCUUUGCCUCGUAAACCGCUGUCGGGUGGGACGAAAGGUAGCUUUGAGCUACUGGGACGGUACCAUCAAAGGAAGGAUCGGCUAACUACGUGCCAGCAGCCGCGGUAAUACGUAGGAUCCGAGCGUUGUCCGGAGUUACUGGGUGUAAAGGGUGCGUAGGCUGUUCUGUGCGUCAGAGGUGAAAUCCACGGGCUUAACUCGUGGGGUGCCUUUGAUACGGCAGGGCUUGAGUACGAGAGAGGUGCGUGGAAUUCCUGGUGUAGCAGUGAAAUGUGUAGAUAUCAGGAGGA
rnacentral:rRNA from 1 species